rnacentral:hammerhead_ribozyme from 1 species
AUCCAUCUGAUGAGUCCUAAAUAGGACGGGACUCGCAUCCUGGAU